rnacentral:piRNA from 1 species
GUGGAACUUGGCCUCGCAAUCAGCUGGCUUC